CACCACUCACUGACAUACAUACAUUCACUCACUAACACACACACUGACAUUCAUACACUCACUCACUGACAGGCACACAUACACAUCACUCACUGACAUACAUACGUACAUACACUCACUCACUGACAGACACACACACACACAGAGGCAGACACUUACUGACAGACACACACUCACUAACUGACAGUCAAACACUCACCUCCCUGGGGUCCAGUGUGGGCAAGCCUGUGAUAGGGCUCCCACCCCCCCACCCCCCUUGAGGAUCGGCCCGGCGCUGGGGGCGGCUCAAGAGCCGCUCACAUAGCGCUGCGGCUCCAGACGGGGGGGCACUAGGAAAC